rnacentral:lncRNA from 1 species
GAAAAAAUUUUCUCUAUCCUGGACCUGAUUGAGGAAUAGAAGGUUCCUCUAGCUGCUUUUAUGUUUACGGGUGAAACUGAACACUGAUGGUGGCUUAAGAAGGACAUUUUACCAACCCCUAUCUCCUGGGACAUUUUUAUGGAUGUUUUUUAGAUAACUUCUUCCCAGCCUAUGUUCGGGAGAAAAAGGAGGAUGAGUUCUGGGAUCUUUGUUAGGAAAAUAUGUCUGUC